rnacentral:rRNA from 1 species
UUGGAGGGCAAGUCUGGUGCCAGCAGCCGCGGUAAUUCCAGCUCCAAUAGCGUAUAUUAAAGUUGUUGCAGUUAAAAAGCUCGUAGUUGAACCUCGGGGUCUACCCAUUGGUCAGGCUUAAUUGUCUGCACUGGUGAGAUGGAUCUCUACCUUCUGAGGAACUUUCAUGCCGAUUUAUUGGUGUGAUGGGAAAUCAGGACUGUUACUUUGAAAAAUUAGAGUGUUUAAAGCAGACAUACGCUGAAUACAUUAGCAUGGAAUAA